GUUCAUCUGAUCUUGACUUCAUUUUGGUAGUUCAUUAGUCAAUGAUCAGUGUUCGUAAUGAGAUCUGUUUUAGAUACUAAAAGAAUAGACUAGCUAUAUUUGGUGUGUGGUAUGAUUGUUAAGUGUAUAUAUCUGGCUGGCAGGUUUCAUCUGACCUUGGCCACAUUUACAUUGAUAAGUCACAAUUAUGUUUUUGUGAUAUUUGUAGUAAAACCUUCUUAUAACAGACUUUCACAAUAAUAAUGCAGGGGAGACAUUUCAGCGUGCACAUCC
rnacentral:lncRNA from 1 species